AUUGAACGCUGGCGGCAUGCUUUACACAUGCAAGUCGAGCGGCAGCGCGGGGGCAACCCUGGCGGCGAGCGGCGAACGGGUGAGUAAUGCAUCGGAACGUACCCUGGAGUGGGGGAUAACGCCGCGAAAGCGGCGCUAAUACCGCAUAUGCUCUGAGGAGGAAAGUGGGGGACCGCAAGGCCUCACGCUCUGGGAGCGGCCGAUGUCCGAUUAGCUAGUUGGUGAGGUAAAGGCUUACCAAGGCGACGAUCGGUAGCUGGUCUGAGAGGAUGAUCAGCCACACUGGGACUGAGACACGGCCCAGACUCCUACGGGAGGCAGCAGUGGGGAAUUUUGGACAAUGGGGGCAACCCUGAUCCAGCCAUACCGCGUGAGUGAAGAAGGCCUC
rnacentral:rRNA from 1 species